rnacentral:rRNA from 1 species
UACGUAGGGGGCUAGCGUUGUCCGGAAUCAUUGGGCGUAAAGAGCUCGUAGGCGGCUUGGCAAGUCGGGUGUGAAACCUCCAGGCUCAACCUGGAGACGCCACCCGAUACUGCCAUGGCUAGAGUCCGGUAGGGGACCACGGAAUUCCUGGUGUAGCGGUGAAAUGCGCAGAUAUCAGGAGGAACACCGGUGGCGAAGGCGGUGGUCUGGGCCGGAACUGACGCUGAGGAGCGAAAGCGUGGGGAGCGAACAGG